rnacentral:rRNA from 1 species
UAAAAAUUUAAUUUAAAAUAUUUAAGUAGUAUUAGUUAAGAUCUUUAAAUUUAAAAAAUUUGGCGGUAUUUUAGUCUAUUCAGAGGAACCUGUUUUGUAAUCGAUAGUCCACGAUGAAUCUCACUUAGAUUUGUAUUUAGUUUAUAUAUCGUUGUUAAAAGAAUAUUUUAUAAGAAUAAUAAUUUUCUUAAUUUUAAAUUUUAAAAUAUAUCAGAUCAAGAUGUAGCUUAUAUCUAAGUUUAUAAUGGGUUACAAUUAUAAUAUUAUUGGAAAUUAGUAUGAAAUUUAUUAUUAGAAAUUGGAUUUGAUAGUAAAUUUAUAUAGAUUAAUAAAUUGAUUAUAGCUCUAAAAUAUG